GAUGAACGCUGGCGGCGUGCUUAACACAUGCAAGUCGAACGGGAGACGUAGCAAUACGUUUGUAAAGCGGCGAACGGGUGAGGAAUACAUGGGUAACCUACCCUAGAGUGGGGAAUAACUAGCCGAAAGGUUAGCUAAUACCGCGUACGCUCCUUGGACUUCGGUCCAGGGAGGAAAGCGAUACCGUGGGUAUCGCGCUCUUGGAUGGGCUCAUGUCCUAUCAGCUUGUUGGUGAGGUAACGGCUCACCAAGGCUUCGACGGGUAGCUGGUCUGAGAGGACGAUCAGCCACACUGGCACUGCGACACGGGCCAGACUCCUACGGGAGCAGCAGUAAGGAAUAUUGCGCAAUGGGCGAAAGCCUGACGCAGCGACGCCGCGGUGGGGAUGGAAGGUCUUC
rnacentral:rRNA from 1 species